UACGUAGGGUGCAAGCGUUGUCCGGAAUUAUUGGGCGUAAAGAGCUCGUAGGCGGUCUGUCGCGUCUGCUGUGAAAACUCGGGGCUUAACCCCGGGCCUGCAGUGGGUACGGGCAGACUAGAGUGCGGUAGGGGAGACUGGAAUUCCUGGUGUAGCGGUGAAAUGCGCAGAUAUCAGGAGGAACACCAAUGGCGAAGGCAGCUCGCUGGGACGGUACUGACGCUGAGGCGCGAAAGCGUGGGGAGCAAACAGG
rnacentral:rRNA from 1 species